rnacentral:snRNA from 1 species
GUACUUGGCUUUCAGCAGCGCACACACUAAAACGGGAACAAUACAGAGAAGAAUAGCACGGCCCUUGCACAAGAUGACAUGCAUAUUCUGAACUGUUCCCAUAUUUUU